UUUUCAUUUUUUUGGACCAAGGACCUCAAAUCUAAAGACCCUAGGUCUCUAUCACUUAUGGUUUACCAUUUAGAAAUGCAUAUCACUUAAUUCAAAUGGAAAAGGGGAAUAACUCUCAUAUGGAGUCUCCAUAAAGCUUCGGUCCAAAUGAAUAUCCUAAUCCUGAAGAUGUAACGAGCAAUUUGGUAAAAUAAAUUUGUCGUAAUCUUUUACGGUUGCGAAGGAGUAGUGGCCACAAGAAAAACAGUGUUUGGGGAGAUAACUCUUACAACGUAAAGUAUUUUGUUACGCAGUUGUAAAUUUUUAAAGCGUAUAAACUAUACGAUAUCAUAUUCCAAAUAUCUAAGCGACA
rnacentral:lncRNA from 1 species